rnacentral:tRNA from 1 species
AGAGUAGCUCAGGGGUAGAGCAUCGGCUUCCCAAGCCGAGUGUCGCGGGUUCGAAUCCCGUCUCU